UACGGGGGAUGCAAGCGUUAUCCGGAUUUAUUGGGCGUAAAGCGCCUGUAGGUUGUUUAAUAAGUCUGUUGUUAAAGACUAGGGCUUAACCCUGGGAAAGCAAUGGAAACUAAUAAACUUGAGUAUGGCAGGGGUAGAGGGAAUUUCUAGUGUAGCGGUGAAAUGCGUAGAUAUUAGAAAGAACACCGGUGGCGAAAGCGCUCUACUGGACCAUUACUGACACUCAGAGGCGAAAGCUAGGGUAACAAAAGGGAUUAGAUACCCCUGUAGUCCUAGCCGUAAACGAUGGAUACUAGAUGUUGUGCAUCAUGUACAGUAUCGUAGCUAACGCGUUAAGUAUCCCGCCUGGGGAGUACGCUCGCAAGGGUG
rnacentral:rRNA from 1 species